rnacentral:rRNA from 1 species
UUAAGCGACUAAGCGUACACGGUGGAUGCCUAGGCAGUCAGAGGCGAUGAAGGGCGUGCUAAUCUGCGAAAAGCGUCGGUAAGCUGAUAUGAAGCGUUAUAACCGACGAUACCCGAAUGGGGAAACCCAGUGCAAUACGUUGCACUAUCGUUAGAUGAAUACAUAGUCUAACGAGGCGAACCGGGGGAACUGAAACAUCUAAGUACCCCGAGGAAAAGAAAUCAACCGAGAUUCCCCCAGUAGCGGCGAGCGAACGGGGAGGAGCCCAGAGUCUGAAUCAGUUUGUGUGUUAGUGGAAGCGUCUGGAAAGUCGCACGGUACAGGGUGAUAGUCCCGUACACCAAAAUGCACAGGCUGUGAACUCGAUGAGUAGGGCGGGACACGUGACAUCCUGUCUGAAUAUGGGGGGACCAUCCUCCAAGGCUAAAUACUCCUGACUGACCGAUAGUGAACCAGUACCGUGAGGGAAAGGCGAAAAGAACCCCGGCGAGGGGAGUGAAAUAGAACCUGAAACCGUGUACGUACAAGCAGUGGGAGCACCUUCGUGGUGUGACUGCGUACCUUUUGUAUAAUGGGUCAGCGACUUAUAUUUUGUAGCAAGGUUAACCGAAUAGGGGAGCCGUAGGGAAACCGAGUCUUAACUGGGCGUCUAGUUGCAAGGUAUAGACCCGAAACCCGGUGAUCUAGCCAUGGGCAGGUUGAAGGUUGGGUAACACUAACUGGAGGACCGAACCGACUAAUGUUGAAAAAUUAGCGGAUGACUUGUGGCUGGGGGUGAAAGGCCAAUCAAACCGGGAGAUAGCUGGUUCUCCCCGAAAGCUAUUUAGGUAGCGCCUCGUGAACUCAUCUUCGGGGGUAGAGCACUGUUUCGGCUAGGGGGCCAUCCCGGCUUACCAAACCGAUGCAAACUCCGAAUACCGAAGAAUGUUAUCACGGGAGACACACGGCGGGUGCUAACGUCCGUCGUGAAGAGGGAAACAACCCAGACCGCCAGCUAAGGUCCCAAAGUCAUGGUUAAGUGGGAAACGAUGUGGGAAGGCACAGACAGCCAGGAUGUUGGCUUAGAAGCAGCCAUCAUUUAAAGAAAGCGUAAUAGCUCACUGGUCGAGUCGGCCUGCGCGGAAGAUGUAACGGGGCUAAACCAUGCACCGAAGCUGCGGCAGCGACGUUUAGGCGUUGUUGGGUAGGGGAGCGUUCUGUAAGCCGUUGAAGGUGACCUGUGAGGGUUGCUGGAGGUAUCAGAAGUGCGAAUGCUGACAUAAGUAACGAUAAUACUGGUGAAAAACCCGCACGCCGGAAGACCAAGGGUUCCUGUCCAACGUUAAUCGGGGCAGGGUGAGUCGACCCCUAAGGCGAGGCUGAAAAGCGUAGUCGAUGGGAAACAGGUUAAUAUUCCUGUACUUGGUGUUACUGCGAAGGGGGGACGGAGAAGGCUAGGCUGGCCGGGCGACGGUUGUCCCGGUUUAAGCGUGUAGGGGGAGUGACCAGGUAAAUCCGGUUGCUUAUCACCCCUGAGGCGUGAUGACGAUGCACUACGGUGCAGAAGCAGUUGAUGCCAUGCUUCCAGGAAAAGCCUCUAAGCAUCAGGUAACAUUAAAUCGUACCCCAAACCGACACAGGUGGUCAGGUAGAGAAUACUCAGGCGCUUGAGAGAACUCGGGUGAAGGAACUAGGCAAAAUGGUGCCGUAACUUCGGGAGAAGGCACGCUGGCGUUAGGUGAAAGGACUAGCUCCUGGAGCUGAAGCCAGUCGCAGAUACCAGCUGGCUGCAACUGUUUAAUAAAAACACAGCACUGUGCAAACACGAAAGUGGACGUAUACGGUGUGACGCCUGCCCGGUGCUGGAAGGUUAAUUGAUGGGGUCAGCCGCAAGGCGAAGCUCUUGAUCGAAGCCCCAGUAAACGGCGGCCGUAACUAUAACGGUCCUAAGGUAGCGAAAUUCCUUGUCGGGUAAGUUCCGACCUGCACGAAUGGCGUAAUGAUGGCCAGGCUGUCUCCACCCGAGACUCAGUGAAAUUGAACUCGCUGUGAAGAUGCAGUGUACCCGCGGCAAGACGGAAAGACCCCGUGAACCUUUACUAUAGCUUGACACUGAACAUUGAGCCUUGAUGUGUAGGAUAGGUGGGAGGCCUUGAAGUGUGGACGCCAGUCUGCAUGGAGCCAACCUUGAAAUACCACCCUUUAAUGUUUGAUGUUCUAACUCGGCCCCAUGAUCUGGGGUGAGGACAGUGUCUGGUGGGUAGUUUGACUGGGGCGGUCUCCUCCCAAAGAGUAACGGAGGAGCACGAAGGUUAGCUAAUCACGGUCGGACAUCGUGAGGUUAGUGCAAAGGCAUAAGCUAGCUUGACUGCGAGAGUGACGGCUCGAGCAGGUACGAAAGUAGGUCUUAGUGAUCCGGUGGUUCUGAAUGGAAGGGCCAUCGCUCAACGGAUAAAAGGUACUCCGGGGAUAACAGGCUGAUACCGCCCAAGAGUUCAUAUCGACGGCGGUGUUUGGCACCUCGAUGUCGGCUCAUCACAUCCUGGGGCUGAAGUAGGUCCCAAGGGUAUGGCUGUUCGCCAUUUAAAGUGGUACGCGAGCUGGGUUUAGAACGUCGUGAGACAGUUCGGUCCCUAUCUGCCGUGGGCGUUGGAAGAUUGAGAGGGGCUGCUCCUAGUACGAGAGGACCGGAGUGGACGAAUCACUGGUGUUCGGGUUGUCAUGCCAAUGGCAUUGCCCGGUAGCUAAAUUCGGAAGAGAUAACCGCUGAAAGCAUCUAAGCGGGAAACUUGCCUCGAGAUGAGUCUUCCCUGGGGCUUAAAGCCCCCUGAAGGAACGUUAAAGACUAUGACGUUGAUAGGCUGGGUGUGUAAGUGCAGCGAUGUAUUGAGCUAACCAGUACUAAUGAUCCGUGAGGCUUAACCUU